UGGGCUUUCCCCACUUAGA
rnacentral:misc_RNA from 1 species